UGGAUAAUAUCACUCAGAUAGCACCGAUUCAACUCCUGACCUGGCAGACAGUGCUGGGUGUCCCACCGUGCUCCAUUGAGUGCACUAAGCCUCACAUAAGCCCACUAAGCCACUGGGCUACUUUGGCUGGCUACACCGAGCUGCUGGAGUAACCACGCUGCUCCUGGGAUUCUGCCCCAAAGGGGAUUGCUCCAGCCAACCCUGGAAUUCGGGAUGCCCUGGACAUGCCAUGAAGAAGCGGAGCUUGAGGGAGAUGCACAGCAUGUAGUGCCGCGCUGCGGUCGCAGUUGCUGAGUGUCCGUGGGCUAGAAGCCUCUUGGGGUAUCACAACAACCCUCUCAAGAUGACUGUGCUGGAGCGCUAUGACUGAAUCAAGAUGAACAGACUCAGCCUCUCAGCCAGUUUGGAAACUGAGGCACAAAGAAAAGUGACUCACUCCAUAGCUAACUACCAGAAACUGUUCUAAGGGACAGAAGCCUUGCAAGAAAGCACAAUUUUCCAUUAAGCAAGAGGAGCUGACACGAGUGCCCACUGUAUCUGUGAAAAGUUGACAGUGUUACAGAACGAAGGCUGUGAAAACUGUCCCCGUGAAUAUUGGUGGAGACCACAUUUUGAGAGCAGCCAAUGCCUUCCCCUGCAGAGCUGAGCAGAGUCCGGUUGUAGCAGAUCUGCAAGUUUGCUGGUGAGAAUAGUCACUGCUUUAACAAUGUAUUUUUGCACUUUCAAUCAUCAGCUUUAGCUGUGCCACUCUCUGCAGAGGCACUGACCAACUGUGGGCAACAGAGUUAAAGAAGAGUUGCCUGUGAUGACAGCUUUGUUUAAACUUGUUUAUUCUGUAGAGUUUCUUGUUCUUUCUCCUAAUUCAAAAAUACCUUUGCCUAGAGAUUUUUUCAGUGAGUAAAUACCAUUUCCAACCAAGGAACAGCAGCUGCAAAUGGAUCAGGUGCUGUGCAUCUUAGGGAGAAAAGCUCAGCAGUGUCCAGCCCAGGUCAUGCCUGGAUUCACUGUGAUCCUCCAAAAGGGCUGGGUACCUCUGGAAAAGAAGAGUAUGGUUAAACCUUCCUGUGAUUGGUUUCUUCCACUGUAAAA